rnacentral:rRNA from 1 species
UGAGUACGAGAUGCUACGGCAUCGAAGCAGUCUAUGUCAUACUUCCAAGAAAAGCUUGCACUGUCAGAAACAGAUAAUGCCUGUACCAUAACCGACACAGGUGGGUAGGUAGAGUAUACUAAGGGGCGCGAGAUAACUCUCUCUAAGGAACUCGGCAAAAUGACUCCGUAACUUCGGGAGAAGGAGUGCCUUAUUUUUAAGGUUGCAAUAACAAGAUCCAAGCAACUGUUUACCAAAAACACAGGUCUCCGCUAAGUCGUAAGACGAUGUAUGGGGGCUGACGCCUGCCCAGUGCCAGAAGGUUAAAGAAGUCGGUUAGCAUUCGCGAAGCUGGUAACUGAAGCCCUGGUGAACGGCGGCCGUAACUAUAACGGUCCUAAGGUAGCGAAAUUCCUUGUCGGGUAAGUUCCGACCCGCACGAAAGGCGUAAUGAUUUGGAUACUGUCUCGGAGAGGGGCUCGGUGAAAUAGACUUGUCUGUGAAGAUGCGGACUACCUGCACCUGGACAGAAAGACCCUAUGAAGCUUUACUGUAACUUGAAAUUGAAAUUGGACUUUAUUUGCGCAGUAUAGGUGGGAGGCGUUGAAAAUAUUCUUGCGGGAAUAUUGGAGCCAUCAGUGAGAUACCACUCUUGUAAUGUUAGAUUUCUAACUUUAUAUCAUUAUCUGGUUAAAGAACAGUUUCAGGCGGGCAGUUUGACUGGGGCGGUCGCCUCCCAAAUGGUAACGGAGGCGCACGAAGGUUUCCUCUGAACGGGUAGAAAUCGUAUCUAGAGUGUAAAGGCAUAAGGAAGCUUGACUGUGAGACCUACAAGUCGAGCAGGGACGAAAGUCGGUCUUAGUGAUCUGACGGUGCUGAGUGGAAAGGCCGUCACUCAACGGAUAAAAGUUACUCUAGGAUAACAGGCUGAUCUCCCCCAAGAGUUCACAUCGACGGGGAGGUUUGGCACCUCGAUGUCGGCUCAUCGCAUCCUGUGGCGGUAGUACGUCCCAAGGGUUGGGCUGUUCGCCCAUGAAAGCGGUACGCGAGCUGGGUUCAGAACGUCGUGAGACAGUUCGGUCCAUAUCCGGUGUAGGCGUUAGAAUAUUGAGAGGAGCCUUCUUUAGUACGAGAGGACCGAGAAGGACAUACCUCUGGUGUACCAGUUAUCGUGCCAACGGUAAACGCUGGGUAGCUAUGUAUGGAGUGGAUAACCGCUGAAAGCAUCUAAGUGGGAAGCCCACCUCAAGAUAAGUAUUCUC